rnacentral:rRNA from 1 species
GACGAACGCUGGCGGCGUGCUUAACACAUGCAAGUCGAACGAGACGAUUUAGAAGCUUGCUUUUAUUGAGUCGAGUGGCAAACGGGUGAGUAACGCGUAGACAACCUGCCGCAAAGAUGGGGACAACAGUCCGAAAGGACUGCUAAUACCGAAUGUUGUAUCUCCUCCGCAUGGAAGAGAUAUUAAAGAUGGGCCUCUACUUGUAAGCUAUCGCUUUGCGAUGGGUCUGCGUCUGAUUAGCUAGUUGGUGGGCAACGGCCUACCAAGGUGACGAUCAGUAGCCGGUCUGAGAGGAUGAACGGCCACAUUGGAACUGAGACACGGUCCAGACUCCUACGGGAGGCAGCAGUGGGAAUCUUCCGCAAUGGCGCAAGCCUGACGGAGCAACGCCGCGUGAGUGAAGAAGGUCUUCGGAUCGUAAAGCUCUGUUGUCGGGGACGAAUGUUGAGGCCUAGAACAUAGGUUUCAAAUGACGGUACCUGACGAGG